GGCUUGUUAGCUCAGUUGGUUAGAGCAUGGUGCUUGUAAUGCCAAGAUCGCGGAUUAGAUUCCCGUACUGGCCA